AAAGAGCAUUUUCUCGACGCUGGGCUUUCGAUGCUAGGCAAGCACCGUUAGCUAUUAAUUAUACUAUGCGUAUUAUCUUGAUGCUUUUCUAGGUCAAAAUUAAUUUUCUACGUUAUAAAGCGUCGAGAAACAAACACGUGCCCCACACGUGACUACAAAAACCCUCAAUUGAAGAAUUUAAGGAAAAUGAAACCGCCGAACAAGAACACAAAUAAAAAAAUAAAAACCUCUAGUUACUCAUCAACCAAACUACUCUUCUCUCUUUAAUCCAAAUUCUAUGAUGACACUUAUGGAAUCAUUAUUUUCAAACUCAGAUCUUUGUUUUUCUUGGAGUAAUUUCAACGUGAGGAAUAUCAUUUUAUGAAUCAGAUUCUUCAAAUUAAGGUACAACAAUUUUGAAUUUCAGAUCUUUGUCCUUCUCGGAUUAAUUUCAAAUUUAGGUAAAUUAAUUUAAAAUUCAUAGCUUUAUCUCUCUUUGAAUAAAUUUAUAGAACUUGACCCAAAAUUGUAAUGUAUGUCGUCCCUCUUAGUGCCAAUCGAUAAUAUUAAGGUACAUACUUUCUCUUUGAAUCUCUUUGAAUCAAUUAAUAGAUCUUGGUUUAAUUUAAUGUUUUAUUUUUCAAUAAUCUCACAUAUUAUGUUUAGAUUUGGGUUAGCUUCAUGAGUAAUUGAGAUUUUAGGGUUUCUGUUAUGUUUCAUUUUGUGCUUUUGGUUUAAUUUAAUUCAUUAAAUUAUGCUUUUGUUUCAUGUUUUUGAAUGAGCAUGAUCGCAUUGUUUUUCGUCUCACAAUUCCAUUACAAUUCGCGUUGAUUUUUGUAGGAGCUUUUGUGAGUGCUGACUUCGCUUGGCUCGUUCUCCUUCGUUAGAUAAGCUUUUUAGGUUUAUCAAAAACUGUUAACUCUUGUUGCAAGCUUGUCAUCGAUAGACAUUAAAGCGUGAGAGGUAUUUGUUUUAUCCUUCUAUAUUUGUUCAUUUUAGAAGAAUGAACAACAGUACUUUGGGUUUCUAAUCACACUUAAUAUUGCCCUCAGAAGUUAUUGAAUUUAGGGGAUUAAUUUUAAUUACUAGUACAUAUUUUAAUAUAUCCCUUGUUAAAUUAUGUUGAAGUUGGCACCAUCUCUUUCUAGUAUUAAGCCGGACUUCGAAUACUAUACCAUUUCACAUAAUUGGGUAGAGUAGUAAAUAAUAGAACAAAUGGGGUAUAAAUGUGGCGAUUAAUGGGCAUACAUUUUAGCUUUAUUUGAAUUCUCUUUGUAUGUUUAUUUCCUUGAACUAAUCAAUCAUUAAAUGUUAAAGAAAAAAAACCAAUGAGCUUUCGAAUUUUUAUUAGUUUUCAUUAGCUUCUUGUUUACAACCCGAGACCUGUCAAUAUUCUGAAUUCUUAACUAGCUUUGAUCAUAUUACUUGGUAAAAAUAAUACAAUUAUUUUUUUUUUUUUUUUUUUUUGUGACAAAGGAUAUAAUACAGUUAUUAAAGGCUAUAUACAAUAUACAAUUUACAUCCAAAUAAGUUAAGAUUUCUAGCUGAAUAUAUAUUUUCAAAUUUCACAUAAAAUAUAUGUUAGCAUUCCUGUUUUAGCCUCUUCUUUGCCAUCUCUCUCUCUCUCUCUCUCUCUCUCUCUCUCUCUAUCUCUCUCUCUCUCUGGUAUUUUUCCCUAUUGGACUAUUUGUUUCUUGGAUCUUUAAUUUUUCUUGAAAGAUAAAAUUACCUGGGUAUUGCUCCUUUCCUUACAUUAAGAUGACAUAAUUUUUUUUAUUAAAGAUUUGUGCCGAUUUCUUAACCUUCAAUAUUUUCUUCUAGUAUACAUGGUUGAUAGGUCAAUAAUAUAAUUAAAAUUAGGGCCUGGAUACCAGUAGAUUCUAAUGUUAGUGACGUUUGUGAGAUAUUAAAACUUAGAUAUGGGAUAUACAAGUUUGGUAUUAUAUGCUUGAGCUUGCAUGACAAGUUGACAAGUAUGCAGGUAAUGACUCAAGUCUAUGUCAUAUUUUGAGGCUAUAGAGUCAUCUUGGUGUAAAAACUAUCUCCUGUUGAAAUAUAUAUCCCAGUAUAAGGCCAUACUCAUGAGAUUCGCUGUCGGGUAGUUGAUUAAAAUUUUAUGAAACCUUAAUUAAGUGUGUACAACAUGUAUAAUGCAUAUGCUACAUAAAUUUUAGAACAUAAUAGUUGUUUGUAAACACUGAUUUCUCAUUUACAUUCUUGUUUAAGAGGGGCAGCAACUCUAAAGGCAAAGACAUGUUAAAUUCUUGUAGAAGUCACUUGUUAGUCAAUCUCCUUAACAUAUUCUACCACUUGUUAGUCAUUUUCAUUAUCAUUGUACUUCUCUAUUAUCUUGCAGGCUGUGCUCAAAAUAAAUACUAGACAUGUAACGGGAACAACCAAGAAGAAAAAAAGUACUUCACCAUCCUCUCUUUUUCUAUUAAUGCUCUGCAUAUUGCCCUGUAGUUAAAAUUUAUUGCAGAAUUCAAAACUUAAGAAUUUGAUAAUAUCAGCAAAUGAUAUGUUUUCUUCGAAGUAUGAAUACCCUGAUACUUUUGGGUUAAGUGAUUUUGUGGCAUCCAUUGCUUGUAUGAAUACUGAGAAAUGGUAGAAAAAGGCUGACAACUACGACACAAGAUUACAAGGAUGGAAGAAAUAUAUUUUAAAGCUAUUUAUUUUAAUUAUAUAUGAUUCAAAAUUUCAGCUGAUACAAUUAGUCAAGAAUGAACUUUUAUUUGUAAUUACAUCCAUUGUAAUAGAAAACUAAUUACUAUGACAUAUUGUACAUGUACUAUUUUAUUUAUAUGCAAUAAAAACUUUU